GAUAUUUCUAUUUUUGUUUAUAUUAAUAUUCGGAGUGGAAAAUUUUCAAGCAUCUGGUACGCGUAGGGACGAGAGUUCAUGCGUACACGUAUCGUGGGCAUGUACGUAAUUUCAGAAGAAAACACAGUUUGGGAUGUAUGGGUCAUUAUAGAGUAUUUAUGACUCAUCCAAACCCAGGGAUUCUUAUAUAUAGGAACCUCCGAGCUCCUUCUCUCUUCAGAUUACAUCCCAAGAUAGCAUUUGUGGACAAUGGCUGGAAUGAUUAGCAAGAUUGGAGAUACCCUCAAGGGCAACAAGAAAGAGGAGGAGUACAAGGGACAAGGGGGCAACAACCUCCACAUGGGGGGCAACAAGAAAGAGGAGGAGCGCAAGGGACAAGGGGGCAACAAGCUUGGAGAGACCCUUCACAUGGGGGGCAACAAGAACGAGGAGUACAAGGGAGAGCAUCAGGGCAGAAGAAGGAAGGGAUGGUUGACAAGUUGAAAGACAAGAUCCCUGGUCUUCAGGGCAAGGAUGGCAAGGAGGGGGUGAAGAAGAAGAAGGAGAAGAAGAAGCACGAAGACGGCCACAGCAGCAGCAGCGACAGCGACUAGAACAUAUGCCAUCAUCUAUGCAUAGGUGGAGAGGAUCACAAUUCAGAAGAGAAAGGUAAAAAAAAAAGAAG